GAAAAGAGAUUAAGUCCCAGCACAAAUCGAAUUUACCAACCAUUCUUCUGAUGAGUGCGUGGUGCCUAGGAACCAUCUGACCCAGAAUGGACAUGAGCCUCUCUGUUCUAUGGACAGGAACCCAGGAACCGAGGUGGGUUUGUCAUCGAGGGGUGACCUAAUUUGAAUAACACAUGUCCCAUCCUGCAGGCCUGGGGCAGUGGGCACCUGACCACGCCCUGGGAGUUUGUUCUGUUUGCUGUGAGGAAAUCUCUCAAUCUGACAGGAUUUCAAGGGCACAGAAAAAUGGCAAGAGUACCAUGAGGAGCCCCUGCAGGCCUGGUUCGGGCACCCUGUGCCUCAGUCCACUCCCUUUGGCUGCAGCAGAACAUGUGAGGCUGAGUAACUUAGGCAGAGAAGACCUGCAUUUGGGCUCAGAGUUCCCGGAGACCGGCAAGUCCGGGGCUGGGCGGCUGCACCUGCUGGAGGAGCUGCAGGCCGGCCAGGGCCCCUGAAGGAGCGUGGCCCCUCUGCAAUACCAAGAUUGUCUCCAGGACACGGCAGGCUGCGGACCCUCCCAGGCCUGGACGCUUAGACGCUGCGUCUGUCUCGCGCAGUCCCCCACCAGCCCGGCUCACUGUGCACUGCGGUGGGAGGUGAAGCGGUUUGGCCGGGAUCGUGAACUUCUGCUUAAGUACUGAGUUCCAAAAACUUAAAAUUCUUCUCAGGACAUUAUCCUAUUAUCACAAGCUUCCCCUCCAAUUUUUUGUCGGUUGUACUGGGGAUCCAACUCGGAAAUUUGGGCUAGGGCCGGGAUUUAGCUCAGUGGUUACACCUCUGCCUCACAAGCCCAAGGUUCCGAGUUGGAUCUCCAGUACCAAAAUUAAUAAAUUAAAAAAAAAUUAAUUGCUGCAGGUUGUUUCCACAGAGCACACAUAUUUAACCAUUUGCCUGCCAUUUGUUGGAUUUUUAGUUGGUUUCAGAUUUGGGGCUUUUUUGGGGGGAAGCCAUAAAGAGAGCAAUUGUCAUGUAAAAUUUCCACAUAUGAGCUUCUUUUCAUUUCAUUAGGAGACAUUCCCAAAAAUUAUAUUCCUGAACAAAAUGGUAUGAAAAGAGUUUAGACUCUCCUCCUCCUCCUCCUCCUCCUCCUCCUUCCUGAAACAGGGUCUCCCUGUGUAGCCCAGGCUGGGCUGAGUCUCGAGGCUAUCCUGCCUCAGCCUCCAAGUGUCGGGAUUACAUGCCUGUGCCAC
rnacentral:lncRNA from 1 species